AUGGUGAGGAGGUCCAAGGAAUCACUGAAGUUCAUGUAACUUUCUGAUAACUCGGAGAACAGGACAUACAAAGAAGUGAGUGAACAUAGCUGUCCGGUGUGAAGUAAAUGAUAAUGAAAAUAAUAAGAAAGAAAGAUGGGAAGAGGAGAGCAGGGAUAGUAACCCAGGCAACAGUAAUAGCUGACCAAUCAGGCCCCACAAUGGGAACCAAUAUAACCUGGCACAAAUUAUUGUCUAAGUGCCUUUUUGGGGGACCUCUGUACUAUACAAGUCUCCAUAGGUCUGUGGCACGUGUAACUGCUCGGAAACGCAUUCAUCU